rnacentral:rRNA from 1 species
GACGAACGCUGGCGGCGCGCCUAACACAUGCAAGUCGAACGAGCGAGAGAGAGCUUGCUUUCUCGAGCGAGUGGCGAACGGGUGAGUAACGCGUGAGGAACCUGCCUCAAAGAGGGGGACAACAGUUGGAAACGACUGCUAAUACCGCAUAAGCCCACGACCCGGCAUCGGGUAGAGGGAAAAGGAGCAAUCCGCUUUGAGAUGGCCUCGCGUCCGAUUAGCUAGUUGGUGAGGUAAUGGCCCACCAAGGCGACGAUCGGUAGCCGGACUGAGAGGUUGAACGGCCACAUUGGGACUGAGACACGGCCCAGACUCCUACGGGAGGCAGCAGUGGGGAAUAUUGCACAAUGGGGGAAACCCUGAUGCAGCGACGCCGCGUGGAGGAAGAAGGUCUUCGGAUUGUAAACUCCUGUUGUUGAGGAAGAUAAUGACGGUAC